CCACAGCUCGGUUGGAAGAGAAUGAGACUCUUAAUCUCAGGGUUGUGAGUUCAAGACCCACGUUGGGGA